CAGCUGAGAACUGUUAUAGCUGUUAAGGAAUGUCAGUUAUGCCCUUUAGAGAGUGGGAGAGUGGUAGUGUGGUCAAAACUUAUGUGUAUUAUAAGGAGGAUGAGUAGCUGGGGAGGGAAGGGCCAGGAUGCUAGGAGGCGCUUUGCAAUGUAUAACUGGUAUUUAUGAUCCUGAGGGAGCCUGGAGGCCUGCAUGGAUUUUGGAUGUUUUUAAGCACCACAAACAGCCUUAUGUCCCUUCUGCCAGAGUUCUGGUAGGAAGGUUGAGGAUACAAAAUAAAAACCUUAUGAUGAAAAAUCUUAUGAAGCCUUCUAGAACUCAUACCAGGAAGCUUGAAACAGAUAUGGAGAGCUAUCAAGAUCCAGUGUUGAUCAUAAGGGUGUCAGCUUCUCCUUCAGGAUUGCCAUAUCUUCAACAUCAGAGGCAACAAGAAUGGAUAUGAUUUUAGUACAUCUUUGUGGUCACCAAUGCACAUAUGGUUUCUAGCUUGUGAACAGUAUUUUGUAUGUACUUUCUGUUCCUACCAACUUCCCUACAGACUUCUACUCCAGUAUGAUGCAAGAUGACAUCAUUGGUUGAGGAUGGGCCAUUAAGAAAUUAAGAGAACUGAGCAUUCUCUUGCAGUUUCCAUUCUUUGACUCCAUUCUGAUUUGAAGAGUUAACAAAAACUAUAAACCUAGGAGUAUACAUAUAUAAGAACAAAAUUUAACAACACUUAUAGGUGUUUAACCAAAGCUACUUCAGAAACACUACCAUAUAAUAAGUCAGUUUUUAAAAUUAACAAGAAGAUUAAAUAAUUUCAAACUCUCCAGUCCUGCACCAAAAUAAUGGAGGAUUCUACUUAUCACCUAUAUGUGUAGAGAAGAGCUAGCAUGAACAGCCCCAAGAAUAGAAAAAACAUCUAAACCAGUAUCUUUAUUUUAAAAUAAGUGUCAAAUGAACACAAUCUUUGAUACUGAAAUUGUAAAUAUUUCAUGUGUGUAUGCACCCAUUCUUGUGUAUGCAGAUAUGCAUGGUAUGCAUGGUUGCCAAAGAACAACCUCAGGAGCCUUCCACCUUUUAUUUGAGACUAGGCCUUUUACUGACAUGGGAAUUUGCCACUUAUGCUAGCCUAGCUUGACACUGGGCUUCCAGGGAUAUCCCUUUCUCUUCUUCCCAUCACCAGAAUCACAGCACCACACUACCAUGUCCAGCAGCAUAAGUGGGUUCUGGGGAGCCAAGCUUAAGUCCUCUAAGUACUUUAGCCACUGAGCCAUAUCCCAAGUUUUGAAAUACUUCACAGACAUAGAAAUGCAAAUAUAGACAGCUAUAGAUACAUAGAUGAAGAUAUAGAGAUAAAGACAAUAUAGAGCUAUAGAUAGAUAUAAAAUAGAGAUAUAGACUGUAGAUAUAUAGGUGGAAAUACAGAUACAUGUAUAUAAGAUAGAUAUAGAUAAUAUAGAGCUAUACACAUAGAGAUGGAGGUAUAUGAUUAUACAUGUACACCAAUGCAAGUGUGCCCUGAGAGAAAAAUAAAACAUACUUAACUAAAAUGUCUACUAUAAACUCUGAAAUGUGUGACCAUCCUACUUCUUCCACAAGUAAACUCACUUUUGUGACCAGUGUAUCAAAUGGCUUUUGCCUCAUCUUGCUUGUGACCUGUCUGUGAAGGUCGUCCUACACUCUGGCAUUUAAGGAAAGAGUAGCUGGAAGAACAUCCUGCUGACUUACAAGUCAGAGUAGACACUGGUCACACAUACCAGGACCAUAUGCCAUCUUACUUCACUACUCUACAUCAAUUAGACUUAAGUUCUCUAAAAAGUAUUAGGUGUGCCCCAAGCUUUGGGCAACAUCAAUCCAUUGGUAUAUACAACUUUUCUUUUUCAUGUUAACUAGAGAACAAAAGACCUAAUAUCCACUAACGUUGAUAACAUAUACUGAUACUAUUAUUUUGCAUGUCUUUAACGUGUGACAGAGGCUUCUCAGAGCCUACACGCUGUAGGAAGACCACUAAUACUGAAUGUUAGACAGUAAACUUUUUACUGAAUUUUCCCUAUGUAUUGUGAAGUGAAAAAAGUCAUUAAUGACGUUGAAAAAAAGGGAAGAGUGAAGAGGGAUGAACUGACAGAACAAAACACAAACCCAGACAGAUGGAGCAACAAUACCAGAGGGGAGAAUAGAUCAUCUUAGUAGAGAACAGACCAGCUCACUGUGAGACUGAAUGAGAGUGAUGAAGAAUGGAGGGCACACACACAAUAAGUAUUAAACAUGUGUAAAGCCAAUAGUUCUGCUUAACAGCUCUCUGAAUGGUUAAGGAAAAAACUAUACAUAAAGAAAAAUAGACAGUUUCUUCACAAAAAAACUAUACUAUUCACAAAAUAAUAUGCUGUUAUAGGUCAUACUGAAUAGUAUUAGGAUCUAAGCAGACUGAAGUGUUAAACUGAUGUCUUAGUUCUUUCUCUAUUGCUAUGAUAAAUAUACCAUGAUCACAACAUCUUAGAAAAGAGACUGCAAUGGCUGGGUGAAGCCAUUGUAACAGGCAUCUGGAACAGCAGCUGGAAACUCACAACUUGGUUCACAAGCAGGAAGCAGACAGUAUGCUGGAAUGGAAUGAAUAUUUCAAAACCAAGCCUACCCCCAGGGGGACACCUUCUGCAACAAGGCCUCAUCCCGUAAUCCUUCCAAAAUAGUUCCAACAUCAGACUAAGUAUUGAAAUAUGUGAGCCUAUGAAGACUACUCUCAUUCAAACCAUCAGAGCUUUCUUCUACCAGCUCCAUCAGUUUCAGCUCAAAAUUUGAUCAUCUGUUGUUGUUACUUAUUCCUCCAUUUUCUCUGUACUAUUGCAUAACAGGAAUAAGGAGAGAAAAUAAUCAAGUGAAAAAAAGGACAGGAAAGUCAGGUUUCCUAACCGGCAUUUAUAACCUCAGUACACAGGAGGAUGAGCUAGGAGAAUCUCAAGUUCAAAGCCACUAAAAUCAGAAGUAUAAACUACAGUAUAAACUACAAUGAGAUGCUAUCACAGACACACACACACACACGCACACACACGCACACACACACACACACAGAGACAGAGACAGAGACAGAGACAGAGAGACAGAGACAGAGACAGAGAGAAUAUAUAGCUAAGCCAAAGUUUGGAAAUACAAUUUUAUCCAAUUGUACCACUGCUCUGCCCUCUCCCCACCCCAUGAAAGGAAAUGCAGAGUGGUCAACAUAUGUUCACAUUCAGAAAUCUCUUUCCAUGCUAUGUGAACUAAGCAACUGGAAGUUUAACAACGUCUUGAUCCUAUUUGUCAAUGUGUUUGUGACCCACUAGUGGUGUGAAGUUGAACUUAGUGAUAGUCCCAACUUUAUCCAUCCUUUUCUACUAACUAUUCUUUUCAUAAAUCAUGAGGCAAUUUAAAAUGGAACAUCUCAGAAUGUGUCACUUAUUUUAAAUUUAGAUGGCUUCCACAAUGUAACUGAAUACAUUUCAGAGAAUACUUACAGAAACUCCCUAAUGUUGCAUGAAAAAUGCAUGUGUCUAUGAUAGUUUUUCUAAAGACAGUGCUCAUGAAUUUAUAGUUUCUUGAAAGGCUUAUGUUCCCGAACUGUUGUGAACAGUAUUAUUCUUCCUCCUGUAAUGUUCAAAGAACAGACCAUUUAAAGAUUUACUAAGGAAGUCAGAGAGAACAGCAAAUAAUUGGGUUGUGCAUCUUCUUGGG
rnacentral:lncRNA from 1 species